AGGUAUGUAGUUUUGACGACAAAGCAUCAUGAAGGCUUCACAAACUGGCCGAGUCCUGUGUCUUGGAACUGGAACUCCAAAGACGUGGGGCCUCAUCGGGAUUUGGUUGGUGAAUUGGGAACAGCUCUCCGGAAGAGGAACAUCCGCUAUGGACUAUACCACUCACUCUUAGAGUGGUUCCAUCCACUCUAUCUACUUGAUAAGAAAAAUGGCUUCAAAACACAGCAUUUUGUCAGUGCAAAAACAAUGCCAG
rnacentral:lncRNA from 1 species